rnacentral:lncRNA from 1 species
CCCAGAGGAUACAAUAUUUUUUAUAUUAAAACGAAAUAGCCGUACACUUGCGGCGUGUCAAAAGACACUAUAAAUAAAACUAUUUCCUGCCAUAUUUCAUUUUAAUGUCACCAUCUUAGAGUACAAAAUUAUAACUUCAAAGUACAUGAAAUUUCUCAAAAAAAGAAAAAAGGUAUAUGAAAUUAGGAAAAAAUUUAUUUGGUGCAUGCACAACUACCGUUCAUCUCAAUAGGAUGUCUCACAUCUGUGCACAAUAACCUUUACGACAUUUACCAACAGUCCCCAUUUUUUUUGGACAAUCCUUAUCUGUUCUACAAGGAAUUGGCAUUAAGGGAAAGGAAGAAAUAGACACUAUCAUGGCAAGAAAUAUUGAAAGCAAUAAAAUCGGAACAUAAAUAAACUUUAGGGUUUCAACC